AACGAACGCUGGCGGCAGGCCUAACACAUGCAAGUCGAGCGAGGACUUCGGUUCUAGCGGCGGACGGGUGAGUAACGCGUGGGAAUGUGCCCUUCUCUACGGAAUAGCCCUGGGAAACUGGGAGUAAUACCGUAUACGCCCUAUUGGGGAAAGAUUUAUCGGAGAAGGAUCAGCCCGCGUUGGAUUAGGUAGUUGGUGGGGUAAUGGCCUACCAAGCCGACGAUCCGUAGCUGGUUUGAGGGGAGGAUCAGCCACACUGGGACUGAGACACGGCCCAGACUCCUACGGGAGGCAGCAGUGGGGAAUCUUAGACAAUGGGGGCAACCCUGAUCUAGCCAUGCCGCGUGAGUGAUGAAGGCCUUAGGGUUGUAAAGCUCUUUCAGCUGUGAAGAUAAUGACGGUACCAGCAGAAGAAGCCCCGGCUAACUCCGUGCCAGCCGCCGCAGUAACAC
rnacentral:rRNA from 1 species